GAUUCUGGCUCAGAACGAACGCUGGUGGCGUGUCUUACACAUGCAAGUCGAGCGAGGCAGCAAUGCCGAGCGGCGAACGGGUGAGUAACGCGUAAGCAAUCUGCCCCAUAUCAGGAAAUACCCGUGCCAACGCGCGGUUAAUGUCCAGGAGAGUGGCCUCUUGCAUGAGGGGUUGACUAGAGAUUUAUCGGUAUGGGAUGAGCUUGCGUCCGAUUAGCUAGUUGGCGGGGCAACGGCCCACCAAGGCGACGAUCGGUAGCCGGCCUGAGAGGGUGAUCGGCCACAUUGGGACUGAGAUACGGCCCAGACUCCUACGGGAGGCAGCAGUAGGGAAUAUUGCACAAUGGGGGAAACCCUGAUGCAGCAACGCCACGUGUGGGAAGAAGCAUUUCGGUGUGUAAACCACUGUCAUGAGGGAAUAAGGCCCGCCUUCGGACGGGAUUGAAUGUACCUUGAGAGGAAGCACCGGCAAACUUCGUGCCAGCAGCCGC
rnacentral:rRNA from 1 species